rnacentral:lncRNA from 1 species
UGGGUCAUGGUUUCGUGAUGCCCAUUGGACAACAAAGGGGGAUUGCGACUAUUUGUUAUCAUCACGAAUUCAUUACUUUGUCACAUCAGGCAUCAACGGAUAUUUCGUGCCCCUCCAAAGGUUUAUUUUCAGCAUGCAUGUUUAGGUGUUUUUGUGAUUGGCAAAGAUAAAGUUGGCUACAAGGCUCAUAUCAAGAUCAGGUGAGUCCCAUGACUGCAGCUGCACUGUCAUACAAGGCACUAAUUGUAAUAGGUUGCCUUAGCUUUUCCAAGUGGUUCUUGCUACUGAUGCACAUGGUGUCAUUGCGAGAGCAAAGGCUAACCAAAGUGCCGUACCGGACACAUUCUUAUUGCUUCCAAAAUAAAGUUUAGUUCUUUCAGAAUGAUUAUUGCAAUCGAAAAUAGAGAAUGUUUAUUGCAAUUUACAAACAGUAAUAGAGCAUGAAACUAAAAUUGUGCCUUUAAUUCAUUACUGGCAGAAAGUCGUACAAACAGGCAAUCUGAGAUGGUACUACUUCAACUGUAACUUUUUAAAUAAUAACUAAUCUUGGUUCAUAACUUUUGGAAACAAAUGGUACAGCACUAGUAUGCAUGUAUCAUUUAUAUGUUAUUAGAACACAACUAAUUAACAUGUCACAUUAUUUCCUAUCCCUUAUAGUCAGACUACACACUUGUAUAAAACUUACCAGUGUGACUUUUCUUUCUGUCCUCAUCCAUGCUGCUAGUGUUGUUUUCCAUCCCUCUGCUAAUUAAAGUAUAAAAUGAACACGAACUCUCUUUGUCCUGUGACUCCUAAUUAAGACCAGAGAGACUUCUCCUCCCUUCUUUCUAUCUACAACAAAAAACUGUUGUUUCUUUUUUUUUUUCAUUGUCCUGUGUAAAAACUCUGCCAUCCCAUUGGACCUUAAGAAGAUAUCGAACCAAUCAAUGACUAUUGAGGGUCCAAGGAUGCUUUAUCUCCCUUUUCCUUCCAAUUACAUGAUUGUGGAUAUGCUGUUUCCACCAGGCACAGCUGAUGCAAAUGGACUUUCUGGGAGGAGUUCGAUCUGAUUGCUGCAAUUAGGAAUGUGUUAUUAUCCACUAAAAUAUUACACAGAUGAUAUACGAUAGGACCAACGCUAGCGUGCAAUGCAAUGUUUGUUUGAUUGUGUUUACUAGUAAAUAAUAAUGGGGUACCUCUCUUUAUCAUCGUAGUUGUUGCUUGCCUGCGUUUGGGGAGGUUGGCUCGUGGAGACCAUUUCCAAGGAAUCGGACGUCAUGAGGGGAUGGUCCAUCAGCUGGUCGACAUCGUCUUUAGAAUCUGAUUAGCGAUCAAAAAAUUGGAAAAAGGAAAAGGAGACUUAACCUUACGGUUAAAGAUGGAAUUCUAAGGUGAAAAAUGAUGGCAUUGCGGAC